AACGCGAAGAACCUUACCAGGGAUUGACAUGACGGUAGUAGUGAAGCGAAAGCGGAACGACCCUUCGGGGAGCCGUCACAGGUGAUGCAUGGCUGUCGUCAGCUCGUGCCGUGAGGUGUUUGGUUAAGUCCACUAACGAGCGCAACCCUUAGCCCCAGUUAUACGUGUCUGGUGCGACUGCCGGUAUUAAGCCGGAGGAAGGUGGGGAUGACGUCAAGUCAGCAUGUCCUUUAUACCCUGGGCGACACACACGCUACAAUGGCCAGUACAAUGGGUUGCCAAGCCGCGAGGCGGAGCCAAUCCUAAAAAGCUGGUCUCAGUUCGGAUUGCAGGCUGCAACCCGCCUGCAUGAAGUCGGAGUUGCUAGUAACCGCAGGACAGCUAUACUGCGGUGAAUACGUUCCCGGGUCUUGUACACACCG
rnacentral:rRNA from 1 species